rnacentral:lncRNA from 1 species
CACGCCCGGGUAAUUUUUGUAUUUUUAGUAGAGACAGGAUUUCACCAUAUUGGCCAGGAGUUCGAGACCAGCCUGGCCAACAUGGUGAAACCCCGUCUCUACUAAAAAUACAAAAAGUAGCUGAGCAUGGUGGCACAUGCCUGUAGUCCCAGCUACUUGGGAGGCUGAGGUGGGAGAAUCACUUGAACCCAGAAGGCGGAGGUUGUAGUGAGCUGAGAUCAUGCCACUGCACUCCAACCUGGGUGACAGAGCGAGACUCCAUCUCAAAAAUAAAUAAAUAAAUAAAUAAAACCUUAAUUUGAUGGUGGUUUUAUGUCUGCCAUUUCCAUUUAGAUUCAAAGAAUCCUAAGAAUAAUGGUGGAGCAAAGCUUAUUUUUCUGUUUUUUGAAUCUUGUAAGGCAUGGUGCCAAACCCAAUAAAUGGUGCCAAAAAGUCCUGCAGCUGGAACUAGAGCUAGAGUCUAAGGGUUCUGAUCCUUAGCUCCAAGGCCUUCUCAUAAAUCCUUUGACACUUUCACCCUCCAACACAGUCAGUCAGUCUCUGUUUUUCUGGUUGGGUUUC